CCUACCAAGGCAAUGAUGGGUAGCCGGGUUGAGAGACCGACCGGCCAGAUUGGGACUGAGACACGGCCCAGACUCCUACGGGAGGCAGCAGGUGGGGAAUCUUGCACAAUGGGCGAAAGCCUGAUGCAGCGACGCCGCGUGCGGGAUGAAGGCCUUCGGGUUGUAAACCGCUUUCAGCAGGGGACGAGGCCGCAAGGUGACGGUACCUGCAGAAGAAGCCCCGGGCUAACUACGUGCCAGCAGCCGCGGGUAAAUA
rnacentral:rRNA from 1 species